CCUACGGGAGGCAGCAGUGGGGAAUAUUGGGCAAUGGGCGCAAGCCUGACCCAGCAACGCCGCGUGAAGGAAGAAGGCUUUCGGGUUGUAAACUUCUUUUCUCAGGGACGAAGAAAGUGACGGUACCUGAGGAAUAAGCCACGGCUAACUACGUGCCAGCAGCCGCGGCAAUACGUCGGUGGCAAGCGUUAUCCGGAUUUAUUGGGUGUAAAGGGCGUGUAGGCGGGAGCGCAAGUCAGAUGGGAAAACUCAGGGAUCAACCCUGAGCCUGCAUUUGAAACUGUGUUUCUUUAGUGCUGGAGAGGCAAGCGGAAUUGCGGGUGUAGCGGUGAAAGGCGUAGAUAUCCGGAAGAACACCAGUGGCGAAGGCGGAUUGCUGGACAGUAACUGACGCUGAGGCGCGAAAGCGUGGGGAGCAAACAGGAUUAGAUACCCGGGUAGUC
rnacentral:rRNA from 1 species